GCUUAACACAUGCAAGUCGAACGAGAACGGAACCUUCGGGAUCUUAGUAAAGUGGCGCACGGGUGAGUAACGCGUAAGUAAUCUACCUUUGCAUUUGGAAUAACUACGGGAAGCUGUAGCUAAUACCAAAUACGUUCAUAUAGUUACGACUAUAUGAAGAAAGAUGGCCUCUUCUUGAAAGCUAUCGUGCAGAGAGGAGCUUGCGUACCAUUAGCUAGUUGGUAGGGUAAUGGCCUACCAAGGCAACGAUGGUUAGCGGGUCUGAGAGGAUGAUCCGCCACACUGGAACUGGAACACGGACCAGACUCCUACGGGAGGCAGCAGUGAGGAAUAUUGCGCAAUGGGGGAAACCCUGACGCAGCGACGCCGCGUGGAUGAUGAAGGCCUUAGGGUCGUAAAAUCCUGUCAGGUGGGAAGAAAUGUACGAGGGAACAACACCCCUUGUGCUUGACGGUACCACCAGAGGAAGCACCGGCUAACUCCGUGCCAGCAGCCGCGGUAAUACGGAGGGUGCAAACGUUGUUCGGAAUUACUGGGCGUAAAGCGCGCGUAGGCGGUUUGUUAAGUCAGAUGUGAAAGCCCAUGGCUCAACCAUGGACGUGCAUUUGAUACUGGCAGACUUGAGUACUGGAGGGGAUGGUGGAAUUCCCGGUGUAGAGGUGAAAUUCGUAGAUAUCGGGAGGAAUACCGGUGGCGAAGGCGACCAUCUGGCCAGAUACUGACGCUGAGGUGCGAAAAGCAUGGGGAGCAAACAGGAUUAGAUACCCUGGUAGUCCAUGCCGUAAACGAUGAGAACU
rnacentral:rRNA from 1 species